GAUGAACGCUGGCGGCGUGCCUAAUACAUGCAAGUCGAGCGAACAGAUAAGGAGCUUGCUCCUUUGACGUUAGCGGCGGACGGGUGAGUUACACGUGGAUAACCUACCUAUAAGACUGGGAUAACUUCGGGAAACCGGAGCUAAUACCGGAUAACAUAUUGAACCGCAUGGUUCAAUAGUGAAAGGCGGCUUUGCUGUCACUUAUAGAUGGAUCCGCGCCGUAUUAGCUAGUUGGUAAGGUAACGGCUUACCAAGGCAACGAUACGUAGCCGACCUGAGAGGGUGAUCGGCCACACUGGAACUGAGACACGGUCCAGACUCCUACGGGAGGCAGCAGUAGGGAAUCUUCCGCAAUGGGCGAAAGCCUGACGGAGCAACGCCGCGUGAGUGAUGAAGGUCUUCGGAUCGUAAAACUCUGUUAUCAGGGAAGAACAAAUGUGUAAGUAACUGUGCACAUCUUGACGGUACCUGAUCAGAAAGCCGCGGCUAACUACGUG
rnacentral:rRNA from 1 species